rnacentral:rRNA from 1 species
CAGCAGCCGCGGUAAUACGGAGGAUCCGAGCGUUAUCCGGAAUUAUUGGGUUUAAAGGGUGCGUAGGCGGAUAGAUAAGUCAGUGGUGAAAGACGGUGGCUCAACCAUCGCAGUGCCGUUGAUACUGUUUAUCUUGAAUAUGGAUGAGGUAGGCGGAAUGUGGCAAGUAGCGGUGAAAUGCAUAGAUAUGCCACAGAACACCGAUUGCGAAGGCAGCUUACCAAGGCAAAAUUGACGCUGAGGCACGAAAGCGUGGGGAUCGAACAGGAUUAGAUACCCCAGUAGUCCCUGUCUCUUAUAA